rnacentral:rRNA from 1 species
AGGGAAUUUUGGACAAUGGGCGAAAGCCUGAUCCAGCAAUGCCGCGUGUGUGAAGAAGGCCUUCGGGUUGUAAAGCACUUUUGUCCGGAAAGAAAUCCUCUGGGUUAAUACCUCGGGGGGAUGACGGUACCGGAAGAAUAAGCACCGGCUAACUACGUGCCAGCAGCCGCGGUAAUACGUAGGGUGCAAGCGUUAAUCGGAAUUACUGGGCGUAAAGCGUGCGCAGGCGGUUUUGUAAGACGGAUGUGAAAUCCCCGGGCUUAACCUGGGAACUGCAUUCGUGACUGCAAGGCUAGAGGAUGGCAGAGGGGGGUAGAAUUCCACGUGUAGCAGUGAAAUGCGUAGAGAUGUGGAGGAAUACCGAUGGCGAAGGCAGCCCCCUGGGCCAAUACUGACGCUCAUGCACGAAAGCGUGGGGAGCAAACA